GUUUCUGUUGUGCACCUUUCAAGCCAUGCGUGGAUCUUCAGGAAUAACCAGCCCGGUCUCACAGGUAACCACAGAUAUGUCCGAGCUUGACGUCCGUACACUCAGCAUCAGGAGGUGGAGGGGACGGUGGUGGUGACGUUACAACAGCCAUCAAAGCUGCCAAACGGCUGACUGCAGUCGAGUCACACCACUAAAGAUACCUGCAGACAUCUCCACCCGUGAUCGUGGCGACCAAAGUAGCCAAACUGCUCUGUUUUCCAGGAGAGAAAUGGAAAUUUCAAACACAGGUGAGAUUUCCCAUAUGUCUUCAUUUCGUGUCCAACUCCACGGAAACGGAGCAGACGUGAAUGAGAGUGGAGCUGAUGGAUUGCAGCCCGGGUCACGCAUGACUUAGCAUCUUCGUUUUGCUUCCCCUCCUCACGGCGGCGGCGUCGCUGGAAACAACAGCGGAGAUUAUUUACACAGACGCGGGAAAAAGAAAAAAGCUGACGAAUCAUCGCUCUCAUCCCGCGUCGCCCUUCAUCACGCCGGAAUCGAUGACGGAAACUUACCCAGGGACGUCAGCGAACAACAAGCUGUAGAGGCUGAAACAGAAGCACUCUGUGGAGUCACUGCACCAGCCUGAAGAACGAUUCACAUCUCCACGCUGAUGUCAAACUUCUUAAUGUAAAGACACAUUAUCACUGCCAUCUUACAGAGUUCAUCAUUCAUCAUCCCGCGGCUUCAUUUGACUUGUUUUUCACCUUCUAUCGUGAUGUUCUUAUCUACUCCAGUUGUUAAGGAGAAUACUAGAAUGCUGUUUUGUGGAUCCAGAAACUUCCCCCAGUUUUCCAUCUCCGUGUAGGCGAGUAGAUAAUGACUGUGUGAACUGCUCCUUUAAGAGCGAAAGGAUGACAGAAAUAUUAACUCGCAUGUUGUGACGUUCAGCUGUCGAUCAGAUUAACACACAGGACGUUCAGUAAAUCAGACUCAGAGGCUGUAAGGAGAGACGCCGGAUCACGUUCGACAUUUUGGUCCCUUUAUUUCAUGUUAACCACAUUUCAAACAACUAAACAACCAAUGGUAAUGGCAUCACCAGAUCUAAACAACACUUUGCUAGACAAAUAAUCAUCAGAAUAAUAAUUAUACAAAAGAAAUGUACAAAUUCAAGACAAAAAAAACAAACAAAAACAAAUUAAAAAAACAAAAACAAAAACGAAAACAAACAAAAUAUAUAAUACAGAUGAACGGCCAUGAAUCAAGCCAAUAAAAUAAAGCCUUAGUGGAAAAAAACAAAAAAGAAACAAAGAAAAACAUUUCUGGCAUUCACAUCGUCUUCAAUACAACACUCUGACUGUCUUUGUCUUUAUAGGUCCAUUAACGAGCCUGACUGGACUCCAGCGAACAAAUAAAACGUAAGCGCAGACUGAACAGUUUGCCACAACAUUUUGCCACAAAGUAUGUCGGUUCUGGCCAAGAAGAGCAUCGACACUUUACAAACCAAACAAAUGUUACCAGAGAUGACCUUCACCUGAGCGAAGUGUCACUCCAAACUGAGUGAUCAGCUGUCUCCUAACGCUGACACCGAUCUGUAUGAGUUGUUGACGUAAAAUAAAUGAAAUGAUGGGUUAGAAUCAGUUUUGAUUUGAUUAGAAAAGUGCUUCCGUCUUUAGUUUGAGUGACUCAUCCAUGAUGUUUGAAAAUGAAGCCCUUAAUUUGGUGUCUUCUUUACCUCAGACGACGCUGCGUCUGUUCUUUAGUCCCCAGAAAAGACCAACGAAUCCCCAAAUAUCCUCACAGUCCUUUUGACUUCACACAGUUCAGAGGACGCAGAAAUAAGAGUCUUUAAUAUUAGAUUGUUGUUUCGUCUUUCGUCUUUUAAGGGAAAUAUGAAGGUCUGAUCAAAUGAGGAGACAAAGGGGAGCUGAAGUCAGCGGUUUAAUUCUCAUUAAGUCCUUCUCUUUGAGCUGCGGUGGGAUCUGAACUGUCAGCCAUGUUGACCUUCGUUCACCCCGGGGUCGAUCAUUAACUGACAUCAUUUCCUAUCACACCGGGCGGCGAGAUUAAUUUUUAAACCUCGGUGGGUUUAGUGAAAAGCAAAUUUGAGGCUUUGUUUGCAGAGGGAGAGUAAAUGUGACCCGUCGCUUUGUGUUCUCCUCCACUGAAAUGUAUCCAGAAUAUAAAACAUGAAAACGUGGCGCGGCUCACAGUUCUGAGCUAAAGAUAAUUAAUUAACGUGUUUUGAUCACCGUCGGUAGAGUUACUCUCAGUCAUACAUCUCCAGUUCCCAUCAGAAACUUCUGAAAAAUGUAUUCUGAAAUAUUAUCCUAGAGAAAACGCUUAACGGAAAAAAAUGUGUGAUCGUCUCCUGCGUGUUGCUUCGUGUGUUUGAAUGUUCACCUGACAGAAGCUGCGAAACAUCCAGAAGUUCUGUUUGGUUCGUCUCGAUUUCAGUUAGAGAUUUAUCACCGUUUGCUCUUCGUCCUUUCAGCUAUUUCAAGUCAAACCAAGUAUUCACAACCACGGAAACGAAUGGAUGAAAAAGUUGAAUAAAUGACUCUUUGUUUAGUUCUUCUAGAGCCCGACUAAUACUGAAGUUCUGAGGCUGGUGCUGGUACCAGUUUAUGAGAGUGAAUAUAUUCUGAUAUUGAUAUAACACUUGUGACUCGGGCUGCAGCUAAAGAUUAUUGUCAUUAUCAAUUAACCAACUGAUUGUUUUGACGAUUACUCAGCUAAAUGUUUUUUUUCUGCACUGUGAUUUCUGAAAAAAAAAAGUGUCCAUAUCAGACAUCACAUAUGCUGAAACCGAUUUAUCUUGGAUAGGUUCUGAUACUUUCAGUCGGGCUCUAGUUCUUUCACCCGGACUUCAGGGCGACCUGGUCGAGUCAAACGUUAAAUCCGAACAACUUUCUAAAAGUCUCCUUCAAGAAUAAAGAUUUCAUUUCAAUCUUCUUCCUCACCGUAAGUCACUCUGAACGUGGGCGUCAGCUUAAUGUGCAAUAUGCAAAAAUAUAUUUCUUAAUUCUUUCGACGACGUGUCUGAACGGAGCGUUUGUAGGAAGGUAACAUAAGACUUUUGUUUCAAACUAAGACCCACGGCUGAGAACGACACCGACUGCUGUGCAGAGCGAUGGUGUGUUUUGAAAUGAGAACCUUUUGUUUGCGACGUGCCUGGUGUGUGAUGUUUGUCUGUUUGUUUGUUUGACUGUGGUUGUCUUAUCUUAUUUACAGUCAGGGUGGAUGCACACUAUAAGAUUUUGGCAAGACUCACUUCACAUAAAGCCAUCCAGAAACAUUCAUGAUUUUUUUUUUUUUUUUUUCUUUCAGCCUCAAUGAAGAAAAACAAGGUGUUUUCUUAAAGGCGAGGCGGGACUGUUGCUCUUUUGUCUGUUUGAUGCUGUUGUUAUUUAUCACCAUGCAUUGACUCCACGCAUCGUAGCUCGUGACAUGCUACACUAUUUGUAACCAUUUUUUUUUUCCACCCCAUUAAAAGCAAAACUGUUGAUCUGAUGCAGCGUGAAUGAUGAUUUUUUUUCUUUUCUUUUUUUUUUUUUUUUGGUAACCAAUUACUGAAUUACAAGUCUCGUUAGUGUUUAACAUUGAUGCAAUCAAGAGGCCGUAGCUGCGAGGAGAUUCAUCAGCGUUUGAUUUCAAAGAAAAAAAAA